AAUUCCCAGGGGGCAGCAGCAUGCUUCUCAGGAGAGUCCACAUCUAAACCUGGUGCUGCCACUGUGAGCUACUCUACCAAGUUCACAAGAGUGGUGGUGACUCCCAGGCUCUCUCCACAAUGUGCUUUAUUUCCUGGCCUACUUACCACUGAGGGUGAAUUCUCCUUUUCACAAGAGGAAAAUUUUGGAGGAGAGCAUCCAAAAGGAAUGACGUGUGGCUGUUGAGAGGUAACAUUUAACAAAAUCAUGGCCAUGGAGGAAAUUAAACUUUCACAGAAUGUCCAUAAUGAGCCUCUGAGUGCUGAUGUUUCAGGUAUGGUACAAAGUAGCUGCUUGGAAUUGCAAGUUAAAGAGACAGAAGCCAUCUUUUCCCUGUUGCUUUCAGUGGAUUUAACCACACAUUAACCAUACGAUGACAUUAUGUCAUCUGUCUGGGACACAACAAAGCACCCAGGUUUCAGCAAGCAAAGCAAAGGCAGCAAAAGCAGAUGCCGUUCAUCCUCUAAACUCCUGGGAGAGUUUCUGAAGCUUUGCUCAGCACCUAGUGAUUCUCUGUUUACCUAAAAUUCUGUCCUGCUAGAGGAUCUGAUAUCCUCUCUCACAGACACCGGAAGGGGUAAAAUAGAAAAGGAGAAGGAACUCUGAGAAUUAGACCUGCCGGCCUAAUGAGAAGUGAAGGCUAAACACAGGAGAGAAGAAAGACAAGAAAGAAAGAAGCAGAAUACUUAUUCUGAAGUAGGAACCAGAAUGUCCUGGGGAGAAGGACCGUUGUCAGAGGCCAUCCUGUCUACUUUGGUCUCUCCUCAGGGUGUCGCUUGAUUGCCUGUGAGCAUCAUAAAGCCCUGAGACAUCCAGAGCACUUUCUGUUCUGUUCAGAGUAGAGUCUGUUACAGGAAAGUGUCCGUUCAAAGUGCUUUAGUUUAAAAAUGUUGGCACUAAUAGGGAUAACAUUCAGUUAGCGUCUUCCUUCA